rnacentral:rRNA from 1 species
UUCCGGUUGAUCCUGCCGGAGGCUACCGCUAUUGGAGUUCGAUUAAGCCAUGCGAGUCGAGAGUCUUAGGGACUCGGCGCACCGCUCAGUAACACGUGGGUAACCUGCCCUAUGCUGGGGAAUAACCUCGGGAAACUGAGAAUAAUGCCCCAUAGCCCACUACGCCUGGAACGGUGAGUGGGUCAAAGCUCCGGCGGCAUAGGAUGGGCCUGCGCCGUAUCAGGUUGUAGGGGGUGUAAAGUACCCUCUAGCCAUCAACGCGUACGGGUGUUGGGAGACAUUGCCCGGAGAUGGAUUCUGAGACACGAAUCCAGACCCUACGGGGUGCAGCAGGCGCGAAAACUUGGCAAUGCGAGCAAUCGUGACCAGGGAACUCCAAGUGCGUAGGGUAAGACCUACGCUUUUCUUGACUCUUCAAAGGUCUUGGAAUAAGGGGUGGGUAAGGACGGUGCCAGCCGCCGCGGUAAUACCGGCGCCUCAAGUGGUAGUCGCUUUUAUUGGGCCUAAAACGUCCGUAGCCGGUCUGGUGCAUUCGUGGGUAAAUCAACCCGCUCAACGGGCUGAAUUCUGCGAGCACGGCCAGACUUGGGACCGGGAGAGGUGUGGGGUACUCUCAGGGUAGGGGUAAAAUCCUGUCAUCCUGAGAGGACCACCUGUUGCGAAGGCGCCACACUAGAACGGAUCCGACGGUCAGGGACGAAACCUAGGGGCACGAACCGGAUUAGAUACCCGGGUAGUCCUAGGUGUAAACGCUGUGGACUUGAUGUUGGGGGCGCUCCGAGCGCUUUCAGUGUCGAAGCGAAGGUGAUAAGUCCACUGCCUGGGGAGUACGGUCGCAAGGCUGAAACUUAAAGGAAUUGGCGGGGGAGCACUGCAACCUGAGGAUUGUGCGGUUUAAUUGGAUUCAACGCCGGG